CCUUUCAGCCAGAUGGAUGCCAACCAAGGGCGUCCAGACACACGGACUCCUGGAGGUCCCCUUGUUAAUCAGGCAAAUGAGGUCUAGGUCACCAAAACCCAGUGUGCAGAAAUGGGAAAUCUUAUCCCAGGAGGUCACCUUCAUGUCCCUCUCCGCUGGGACACAUUUUCUAAGGCUUCUUCCCUUCUAGAAAGGAUAGCCCGUGGCUCCCAGGGAGAUCGACUCAGGCCCUCUGGCAAGCCACAGAAGCGCUCCCUGGGAAAGCGGAGGGCCCUGCCGUCACUCAGUUUUUGAAGCUUCUUCUGAUACCACUGGGACACCCGCUCCUUGGGAGGCUGGUGACAACUAACCAACCACCAUCCCCUCCCUUGGAACAAACCCCAGAUUCCUCAUCAGGGGGGAGGUCCCUCUGCCCAAGCUCAAAUUCUCCUUCACCUGACUCUCAGUGUGAAAAAUACUAUGAGUGACUUCUUCUCACCACUGAGUCCUCACCCUGCUGCGCUCUGCCUGCAGGAUUCUCCACAGAAGCACAAGAUUCGAGCCUACUAUUGGGGUAGUAACCAGAGGAAACUAGAGGCUUCCGGCCAGCCUUCUUUGUGCAACUUCGUAUUCCCAACACAUUCCUUGAACACAGCAAUCAUUUGAAUCAAUGUGAACAGGAAUUUACCAGUAUCUUGUCAGCAGGCUUAUUCACCAGAAAAAGGAGGCCCAGAUGUCCAAAAUAUCUAACAACCACUUAACCAUACUCUUCCGGACACUCAGAAGGCAAACGCUAGCCUGAGGUCACUCAGGAAGGAGCCCAGAGGUAACUGAUAGUAACACUAAAAGCACAAGGACCAUCAGACUAACCUCCCUAGAGAAGCCUGAUCUCGACCCACACCAUCCCAAGGCUGGGCAGUCACUCCUGAGGUUCCUGUCUCUGCCAGGCACCGCACCAGAUACUGGGUGCGUAUGAUCCCUGCUCCCACUUCCUGUGAGCAGAUGCUGAACUGUGUCCCUCAGAAAGUUUCUUUACGAUGCCAUUCUCAAGCCUGGGAAUGUGACCUUAUUUGAAAAUAGUCUUUGCAGAUGCUUCAGGAUAAAAAAAAAUGUUAUUCCAGAGUAGUGGGACAGUCCCGAUCCAUUGGAUGAGAACUAAGUUGGAUAGAGGAGAAACAAGAAGUACAUCAAAUGAGCCUUCCAGCCACAGGGUAAGGGACGCUCGUUCCAGCCUGUGCACCUACAGAAGCCCUUUCCCAACUGGGGCCGUCCAGCCAGCUCUCCAAGCAGGUGACAGCCGCACCGCUCUGCGUCCAUCUUAGAAAGGUCAGAAACUAAAUUUGGAGCCUAGCUUUUAGUUCUUCUACAUCUCUAAGUUGUCUUGAGGCUGAGGGAAAAGGUUCAACAGAGGACUAUGCCAAAAAAAAAAAAGCAAAAA